GAUUCCAUUCCAUUCCAUUCCAUUCCAUUCCAUUCCAUUCCAUUCCAUUCCAUUCCAUUCGUGUUGAUUCCAUUCCAUUCCUUUCCAUUCCAUUCCAUUCCCUUCCAUUCCACUCGGGUUGAUUCCAUUCCUUUCCAUUCCACUCGAUGAAUUUCCCUUCUAUUCCACUCCGAAUGAUUCCAUUCCAUUCCAUUGCAUUCCAUUCCAAUCCAUUCCAUACCAUUCCAUUCCACUCGAGAUGAUUCCAUUCCAUUCCAUUCCAUUGCAUUCCAUUCCAUUCCAUUCCAUUCCAUUCGGGGUGAUUCCAUUCCAUUCCAUUCCAUUCCAUUCCAUUCCAUUCCAUUCCAUUCCAUUCCACUCUGUUUGAUUGAGUUCCAUUCCAUUCCAUUCCAUGCGAUUUGAUUCCAUUCCAUUCUAUUCCGUUUCAUUCCAUUCCACGCCAUACGAUUCCAUUCCAUUCCAUUCGGUACAUUCCACUCCAUUUCAUUCCAUCCCAUCCAUCCCUUCUGGUAGAUUCCAUUCCAUUGCAUUCCAUUCCAUUCCAUUCCAUUGCACUCGCGUUGAUUCCAUUCCAAUCCAUUCCAUUCCAUUCCAUUCCAUUCCAUUCCAUUCGUUUCCAUUCCAUUCCACUCGUGUUGAUUCCAUUCCAUUCCUUUCCAUUCCAUUCCAUUCCCUUCCAUUCCACUCGUGUUGAUACCAUUUCCAUUCCACUCGAUUACAUUGCCUUCCAUUCCACUCGGAAUGAUUCCAUUCCAUUCCAUUCCCUUCCAUUCCCUUCCAUUGCAUUCCAUUCCAAUCCAUUCCAUUCCAUUCCAUUCCACUCGAUUUGAUUCCAUUCCAUUCCUUUCCAUUCCAUUCCAUUCCGUUCCAUUCCAUUCCAUUCCAUUCGGGUUGAUUCUUUUCAAUUCCUUUACGCUCCAUCCCAUUCUAUUCAAUUCCACACAAUUCCUUUCCAUUCCUUUCCAUUCCAUUCGGGUUGAAACCAUUCCAUUCCAUUCCAUUCCACUCCAUUCCAUUCCAUCCCAUUCCAUUCCAUUGCAUUCGGGUUGAUUCCAUUCCGUUCCAUUCCAUUCCAUUGCAUUCCAUUCCAAUCCAUUCCAUUCCAUUCCAUUCCAGCCGAGUUGAUCCCAUUCCAU
rnacentral:lncRNA from 1 species